AUAACUCCUCCCACCAUAUUAUGAUGUUCCCCAAGCUUCAGACCCAAUCCGAUAUCAAUUGGUCCAUGAAAUUGGACAAGUCAGGUUCGUACGAAGUUCGAUCUGAAAUGGAGUGGUUGGUGUAUUGCAUGGUUCUGGAGAUUGGAUUUCCCUCAAAAGCCACCAAAUAAAUCCUCCCACCCAUAUUAUCAUAUUCCCCAAGCUUCGGACUCAAUUCGAUAUCGAUUGGUACAUAAAAUUGGACAAUUCAAGUUCGUACGAAGUCCAU
rnacentral:lncRNA from 1 species